CGCAUCUGUGCAUGCAGCAUAUCAAUAAGCGGAGGAAAAGAAACUAACAAGGAUUCCCCUAGUAACGGCGAGUGAAGCGGGAAGAGCUCAAAUUUGAAAUCUUAAAGGGUUUCCCUUUACGAAUUGUAGUUUAAAGAAGUGUUUUCUGUUGAGGUUUUGGUAAAAGUUCUUUGGAAUAGGACAUCAUAGAGGGUGAGAAUCCCGUAUUUGACCUUUACUUUCAACUUUGUGAUACACUUUCAAAGAGUCGGAUUGUUUGGGAAUGCAGUCCAAAAUGGGUGGUAAAUUUCAUCUAAAGCUAAAUAUUGGCGAGAGACCGAUAGCGAACAAGUACCGUGAGGGAAAGAUGAAAAGAACUUUGAAAAGAGAGUUAAACAGUACGUGAAAUUGUCAAAAGGGAAGCGCUUGACACCAGUGUUGUUUUUCUGAAAAUCAAUUAAAGAACUGUUUAUGCUAAGUUGUUUAGACCUUAUCAGCUAACUGUUUAGUUUUGAGCUUUUCUUUAAUGCACUUUUCAGUUAGCAAGUCAACAUCAAUUUCUUUUGCUGUAAAAAAGCUUGAGGAAGGUGGCUUGAGAUUCGUCUUAAGUGUUUAUAGCCUCUUGCCUAUGCAGUCGGAGAGAUUGAGGUCUGCAGCGUAGAUCCUUCGGGGCUAAAUGCAUUUGUGCUAAGUUAUAGCAUUUUAUAGACAACUUGUUGACUAUGAUUUGUCUUGUAGCUUACUCGCUUAUGUUAUUUUACCUACGCUUAGGAUGUUGAGUCAUCACACAUCUCU
rnacentral:rRNA from 1 species